AGUGAACGCUGGCGGUAGGCCUAACACAUGCAAGUCGAACGGCAGCACAGUAAGAGCUUGCUCUUACGGGUGGCGAGUGGCGGACGGGUGAGGAAUACAUCGGAAUCUACUUUUUCGUGGGGGAUAACGUAGGGAAACUUACGCUAAUACCGCAUACGACCUACGGGUGAAAGCAGGGGAUCUUCGGACCUUGCGCGAUUGAAUGAGCCGAUGUCGGAUUAGCUAGUUGGCGGGGAUAAAGGCCCACCAAGGCGACGAUCCGUAGCUGGUCUGAGAGGAUGAUCAGCCACACUGGAACUGAGACACGGUCCAGACUCCUACGGGAGGCAGCAGUGGGGAAUAUUGGACAAUGGGCGCAAGCCUGAUCCAGCCAUACCGCGUGGGUGAAGAAGGCCUUCGGGUUGUAAAGCCCUUUUGUUGGGAAAGAAAAGCAGCAGGUUAAUACCCCGCUGUUCUGACGGUACCCAAAGAAUAAGCACCGGCUAACUUCGUG
rnacentral:rRNA from 1 species